rnacentral:rRNA from 2 species
UAACACUUGGAAACAGAUGCUAAUACCGCAUAGAUCCAAGAACCGGAUGGUUCUUGGCUGAAAGAUGGGGUUAGCUAUGGCUUUUGGAUGGACCCGCGGCGGAUUAGCUAGUUGGUGAGGUAAUGGCUCACCCAGGCGAUGAUACGUAGCCGAACUGAGAGGUUGAUCGGCCACAUUGGGACUGAGACACGGCCCAAACUCCUACGGGAGGCAGCAGUAGGGAAUCUUCCACAAUGGACGCAAGUCUGAUGGAGCAACGCCGCGUGAGUGAAGAAGGCUUUCGGGUCGUAAAACUCUGUUGUUGGAGAAGAAUGGUCGGCAGAGUAACUGUUGUCGGCGUGACGGUAUCCAACCAGAAAGCCACGGCUAACUACGUGCCAGCAGCCGCGGUCAUACGUAGGUGGCAAGCGUUAUCCGGAUUUAUUGGGUCGAUAAAGAGCGCAGUCGGAAGAAUAAGU